rnacentral:tRNA from 1 species
GGGCGCAUAGCGCAGUUGGUUAGCGCACCACGUUGACAUCGUGGGGGUCAUAGGUUCGAAUCCUAUUGCGCCCA